UCACUUUGGCAGUAGAGGUGCCAAAACUGAAAUGAUACAGAGAAGAUGAGCAUGGCGCCUGCACAAGGAUAGCCUGCAAACUGUAGAAGUAUUUCAUAUUUUU
ensembl:snRNA U6 U6 spliceosomal RNA